CGCGCAGGCGGCUUGGCAAGUCGGGUGUGAAAUCCCGGGGCUCAACCCCGGGACUGCAUUCGAUACUGUCAGGCUAGAGGUAGGUAGGGGAGGAUCGGAAUUCCUGGUGUAGCGGUGAAAUGCGCAGAUAUCAGGAGGAACACCGGUGGCGAAGGCGGAUCUCUGGGCCUUACCUGACGCUCAGGCGCGAAAGCUAGGGAGCGAACA
rnacentral:rRNA from 1 species